rnacentral:rRNA from 1 species
AUACGUGGGGAGCAAGCGUUGUUCGGAUUUACUGGGCGUAAAGAGCACGUAGGCGGGCGAGUAAGUCGGUCGUGAAAUCCUCUGGCUCAACCAGAGAACUGCGGUCGAAACUACUCAUCUUGAGUCUAUCAGAGGGAAUUGGAAUCGGACGUGUAGCGGUGAAAUGCGUAGAGAUGUCCGAGAACACCAGUGGCGAAGGCGAAUUCCUGGGAUAGUACUGACGCUGAGGUGCGAAAGUGUGGGGAGCAAACAGGAUUAGAAACCCCAGUAGUCC